UAACUGAAGAGUUUGAUCAUGGCUCAGAUUGAACGCUGGCGGCAGGCUUAACACAUGCAAGUCGAGCGGGGGAAGGUAGCUUGCUACUGGACCUAGCGGCGGACGGGUGAGUAAUG
rnacentral:rRNA from 1 species